rnacentral:rRNA from 1 species
CACUUCUAAGGAAGGCAGCAGGCGCGCAAAUUACCCAAUCCUGACUCAGGGAGGUAGUGACAAGAAAUAACAAUAAACCGGCUUAUGCCGGUUUAAUUGGAAUGAGUACAAUUUAAACAUCUUAACGAGGAACAAUUGGAGGGCAAGUCUGGUGCCAGCAGCCGCGGUAAUUCCAGCUCCAAUAGCGUAUACUAAAGUUGUUGCAGUUAAAAAGCUCGUAGUUGGAUUUCUGUGGGGACGGAGCGGCCGGCCGCAACACGCGGUUCGAGCUAGCGCUUUCCCUACAUCCUGCCGCGAACCGUGCUACCAUUAGUUUGGUGGCGCCGGGGAUCGGCUCGAUUACUUUGAGAAAAAUAGAGUGUUCAAAGCAGGCCACACGCCUUGAAUAAGUUAGCAUGGAAUAAUAACUAAGGACUUCGGUUCUAUUUUGUUGGUGUUCGGGACUGAAGUAAUGAUUGAUAGGGACAGUUGGGGCGGUCUGUAUUCCAAAGCGAGAGGUGAAAUUCUUAGACCUUCGGAAGACAAACAGCUGCGAAAGCGUUCCGCAAGGAUGUUCCCUUUGAUCAAGAACGAAAGUUGGGGGAUCGAAGACGAUCAGAUACCGUCGUAGUCUCAACUAUAAACUAUACCAGCUAGGGAUCGGCCAACGUUAUUUUAUACCGACUUGGUCGGCACCUUAUGAGAAAUCAAAGCAUCUGGGUUCCGGGGGGAGUAUGGUCGCAAGGCUGAAACUUAAAGGAAUUGACGGAAGGGCACCACCAGCCGUGGAGCCUGUGGCUUAAUUUGACUCAACACGGGAAAACUUACCAGGUCCAGACAUAGUAAGGAUUGACAGAUUGAUAGCUCUUCUUGAUUCUGUGGGUGGUGGUGCAUGGCCGUUCUUAGUUGGUGGAGUGAUUUGUCUGGUUAAUUCCGUUAACGAACGAGACCCCAGCCUGCUAAAUAGCGCGUGUGAGCUUUGCUCGCAGCGAGCUUCUUAGAGGGACUAUGAUGCGCGAUAGCACAUGGAAGUUUGGGGCAAUAACAGGUCUGUGAUGCCCUUAGAUGUUCUGGGCCGCACACGGGCUACACUGGCGCCUGCAACGAGCAUAUCAGCUGGCCCGAGAGGGUCUUGGCUAAUCUUUUGAACCGGCGCCGUGCUUGGGAUUGACCUUUGCAAUUGUUGGUCAUGCAACGAGGAAUGCCUUGUAAACGCGAGUCAUCAGCUCGCAUUGAAUACGUCCCUGCCCUUUGUACACACCGCCCGUCGCUCCUACCGAUGAAUGUUCCGAUGAAAUUUUCGGAGAGCACCUGUGAACUUGGCUCUGCCUUGCGAACGGGAGGCUCAAAGUCACUUAAAUCUGAACAUUUCGAGG